AAAUCACGUGUCCCUUCCGAAAGUGAAAGUGCCGCCGCUCCCGCGCGGGCGGUGUCGCCGCUCCCGGGAGCGCCCGCGGGAUGCUCCGGCACCUGGGCUGCGCACCGCCUCCCCGGACUAUUGAAUUUUAAUAAUUAAAAUAAAUAAACCGGACCUAAAGCGGAGCGUGGCACCCUCGGAGCGCAGGGGGCCGCCCGCACCAGCUCCAGCCGGGACUUCCCGGGGCUGGAAACCCCCGGGCCAAGUCCAGAGGAAUUUCCCCAUGGGGCUUUAAGAAAUUUCAUCCAAAUCCAAAUUUCAUCCAGGAAAUUCCACAAGACAAAACUGAGUCAAGCACCUGAACCCAGGACAGGGGCAUUCAGCAGAUCCAGCAAAAUGUAUCUAAGGGCAGUGAACACCAUGAAACCCAGAGGAGCCAGGAGAGCCAGGUCAGGGUGGGAGCAAGGGACAAGGCUGGCAUGGACAAGGACCCUGCCUGGCAGGAGAGGGGGAUACCUGUCCUGCACAGCCACAGCUGUUGUCUCCUGCCAUCCCUCCAGGUCCUGAUAGCUCAGGGACCAGUCCAGGAAGCUAAAAAUCAGCCUCAUUUAGGUGACCAGCUCCUGCACAGUGGAAGAAGAGCUGGAGAUUUCAGGAGGAAGAGUCAGUUUUUUAAAGAAGUUUUUAAAAGCAUCCCAAAUGACAAGGAGAGCCUUCCCUGAACCUCAGCCCUUCACUGCACCAAAUUUUCCUGCGAACUUAACCCCACCAUACAAACCUGCACCCCAUGCACAUCCCUGCAGCCACAAAUCACCCAGUUUCAGGGGACAAUCCUUGCAGGAAGAAGGGCAAGCUGAAACCCCACAAGUUUUAUCAGCAAGUUUUAUCUUUUGGGGACCCUCCCUGUAAAUCAAAAAGCAGCAAGGAAUGGGGCACCUUAAAGAAAAAAAAUAAAAUAAACCUUUCUCUUUUAAUCCACCCAAGGGAAAUCCAAAGCAAGAGCAGCAUCACAGCACUACACACAGCACAGACAUCUAUCAUUGCCUUUGCACAGAUUCCUUCCCAGAUACAUGGAGAAGUCAUUAAGAAAAAAGAAAAAGAAAAUUAUUCACAUAUGCAAAGUGACAAGUAACGAAUCAGCCACAGAACAACUUUUUCAAAGAGAAAAAGGAUGCAUCAAGGAAGAAGGCCCUCAACAUACAGGUUUCACGAAAACCUAACCCAAGAAUGGUGAAACAGAGGUGGUUUUCUUUUAAACAUUAAAAACAAUGGUAUUUUAAAAAUUAAUUUAAAUACACAUUCAAAACACAAACACCAAGCAGGCGCCUGGAGAAUAAAGCAAAAUGAAGGAAUGAAAAGUGAAUUCAACCAGUUUAAUUUCAACACCAAAGUUGGGUGGAUCGCACCAAAUGGAAUAAAUAAUGGAAAAGAUCACACUGGGUUGGUAGAUCUCACACUUAAGAUCACUUAACUAGAAUUAAUUACACAGCCCAAGAGAGUACUGAAUGAGGAAUUCCUCUGACAAGUGAAUCUUAGCUGGGGCAGUGUCCCUUUGACAGAGCAGGUUGUAGGUGUGGACUUGCCCUCUGCCACCCACCACUGAUCCCCACCCCAGGAGCAAAUGGGAUCUUCUUGUGAUGCAGAGGACACACCCCCUCAAGUGAUGGACACACAAACAGCUCCUUGCUCAGAGGAUGUGAACCCUCUGCCUCUUCCACGCCCGCUGGCUCCAGUCACACCCAAGGCAAACAUCAGAACACAACCAGACCUUGUGUUCUCACCUGGAAGAGUGAGCCCACAGGUGCAGCAUUUCUACUGUGGCUCCAUGAGGUUGGGCAGUGCCAGAACUGGAGCCAGUGCCUCCUUCCACACACCUGGGGUCAGGCUGGGAAAAAAUCAGA